rnacentral:tRNA from 1 species
GCGUCGCUAGCUCAAUUGGCAGAGUUCCGGUCUCCAAAACCGGUGGUUCCAGGUUCGACCCCUGGGCGACGUG